CCCCCGGCCCGCGCAGGUGUGGCGCCCACCAGCCUAGACUCACGGACCCUCCCGCCUUGUCCCCGGCUCCACCCUAGCGUCACUCAGGCCGGGGCCCGUCUACCUGGGAAAUCACGGGGCCUGUCAGGAGCCUGACGGUGGCGCGGAAGGCAAGCUGCCGAGAGGCCAAGCAGAGUGCCCAGGCCCAGCACCCAGGCAGGCCCGGCCCCGCCACGUCCAAGGCUCCCGCCCUCUGGAGUAAGCGGCGCGAGCGCUCUGGAGGCGGGGAGAGAGACAGCUGAAAGGAAGGAGGUACCGCCAGGCAGUCUCUCGCGAGAGGGCGGAAGAGCCGUUUCGACGGGGGCGUGUGCCCGCUGAGGCCGAGAGCGUGGUUGUCAGUGAGCAGGCAAGAGUUCAAUGCCGUCCGCCGCCUCCGCGCAGAAGAUUUCAUUAGACGCCCUGAGCGAUGCUUCGGUGCCUGCAGAACUCUGGUGUCCGGGAUUCGCGGCCCAAAAGAAGUAGAACAAAUCACAUGUGGACCACGUGGGGGCAUGGAACCCAGAAGCUGUCACUCGACGGCCUCUGUGAAACCAGAACAUGCCCUGAAAAUCCUAACUGUUUAUCUGUGAGGUGGUUUCUAUGAAGAUUAAUCAUCCCAGAAACUAUUAGAGGUCUACUCAACCUGUCCCAUUUAAAAGAUAGAAUCUGAAGAUUUAAUGAGAAAAAGCACUUGAAGAAUUCAAAACUGUGGCUAAUCAGGUUUGGCAGUGGAUUUAGCAAAGUUUAGAUGACAGCAGAAUGGUAUCAAGAAACCUUGCCUGUAACUUAAAAGAGGUGGAGCACAAACUAGAACAGGAAGACUACUCCCAUCUGAAAGAUGCUAUACAUGACAACUGAAAUAUUCCUAGAAAUAAUGCAGAAGAGACUUCCCUGAACUUGUCACAACCUACCGUAAGCUAGACCACACUUUUCCGGCCUCUUACAAUCACAGCUUUCACUUCACAGCUCUUACAACAAUAGACCAGAGUGCAAACAACGUUAUGAAAAACGAGGGCUUGAUAAAACCCACAGAAAAGCUAUUUACUAAUAUUGGGACUACUUUUAGCCAUGCUAUUAUAGUUCACGAUUUAUUCUUGUGCAUAAUAAAUACAGAAAAAUGUUGAAAAUGUUAUGACUCAAUUGUCUGAUUAAA